AAGAGACACAGAGAACGGAAAUUUGUCCAGGAGCACGCCUCAUUUUAGCCAAACUUCCUUCAUUGCCCUCACGGAAACGACGAAAUCACCGGACGUGACACCGAAUAUGCCCGCCGACAGAGCAAGAGCCCGAGGUCGAAUCGGGAAAAUUCGCAAAUCCAUCGUCCUCUCCUUCCCUUCCCCCCACCCAAAAACAAAAGCUCGCCGUAGCUUUCGAUCGCCGACCGCCGCGAAAAUCGCCACGGAGUCCACGAACGCUGCGAAGACCAGGAUUCGAGGUUUGAAUUCGAGCAAUGCGGACGAAGACCGCAAUCGAUCUCUCCACCUCGCCGGGCGAUCGCGCCAUUUUGAUUGCGUGAGAUUGGAAUGAUGUUGUUGCUCGGCAGAAUGUGGAGUUGAGGGUGAUGGUUGUUCUGAAGUACUUCAUUGCCGCGGGUGGGGGCGAGAGAUCUCAGAGUGAGGUCCAAGGCUUGUGAAGCUGUUUACAAGUGCUUCUUGUGGAAGCAAUUAAAUGCGCUUCUGUUGUAAAUUCAUGUCCAAUCCCACUAUUCCAUAUUAUUAUCACCUCUUUGUGGUGCUGAGGGUGGGUUUGAUUUUGUUGUGUGUGGGGUUUGGUGUUGGGAAACUUAUGGAUGGGAUCUUGACAGAGUUAACGCUAGACCUUCAACUCUUAUGGAGACAAAGGGCUGUUCUAUUGUUCACCUUUGUAUAUGAAAUACAAUAUAUGGUUAUUGAUGCACAGUGUUUUUUUUUUUUCCAUCUUGGAAGGGCUAUUGAUGUAUUGACAUUCAAGUUAUUUGGAUGUCUAAUUAUGUGUGCUGAAACUGUCUUUUCCAGACCAGCAUUCGCCUGAUUUACUUAACCGAAACACUUUAUUUCCUGGUUAAUCAUGAAGCACAGAAUAUUCAGGUUUUAACAUUUGGACAACUCUGUAUUGGCAAUGCAGUGUUUGCAUCUUACUACAGUGACUGCAUGCCAAAAACAUUACGUAUUCCUCCUGGACAAGAUUUUUUUGUCUUAUUUGCCUCCGUACUAUUUUUGGUUCCCACAGAAGACGCACCAUCAAUUCCCUAGAGAGGUAUGGCUAUAUAACAUAGGAUUUGGUAGUUAUCAGGUUGAGAAAGUUUGUGAUACCUCAGGAGAAGAUGCAUCAUGCAGCAAGUGAUGAGCUAGUUUCAGUCAAAGCUACUUGUUCAAACAAUUAUUUUUUGGAUUUAUCAUGCAAGAUGCAAUAAGUCGUGAUGGACCAGCUUAUUCUAGAGAAUGUCUGUCCUUUGUUACUAGGAAUAUUUGUGGACAACUGAUCAGGGUAUUUUCCUGCAGAUUGGUAAUCGGUAACAGCAUUGUGGACCAUUUAGUCUUUCUAUAGUGUGCAAUUAAUGGCUAAGACAUGAGAAUCAUGCAAAAUUGUCACGGACACUAUUGACGGAAUGUGGAGGUGAAGAUGUCAAAGGAAAUCUUAUGCUUUCCAGGAAUCCUUUUGUUUCUGCAUCGAGGCCGCAUUCAGACUCUGAUGCCAAGAGGAAAUUCAGUUGAAAUGCUCCUGGGUCAGUACCUGGAUUCUCAAAGAUCAUCAGGGACCUCUGUGAUGAAGUUUGGUCACAAAAUGCAUUCCAUCGAUCUGUUGUCCAUAUCCAUCACAAGAUACAGAGGAGCUCUACUCUAAUUUACUCUGAAUGUAAAUAGCGCAAAGUUGAAGGCACAUUGGCACAUAAGAUUUCUUGGCAGAACUAAGUACUUCAACUAUUUCCUCGUAGGGAAUUGUGCAGAUGAACUGUUAAAUCAAACCAUCUCGGAGACAGAUGAUGACUUUGUCUUACAUCAUUUCCACUGGCAACCUUUGCAAAAUUUUUACUCUUAGGAGGAAUUAAUAUUAGUGGAAACCUGAAGAACUAAAAUGCCUUCAUCAUUUCAAAGCAUAUAUUGCCAAUUAUGACCAUUUGAAGGAGAUAUAAGUCCUUGACACUGUAUGAUAAGCUAGAGUUUGUACAUUACAGCAAAA